CCUGGCUCAGGACGAACGCUGGCGGCGUGCCUAAUACAUGCAAGUAGAACGCUCAGUUUAUACCGUAGUUCUCCACAUCAUAGACUGAGAGUUGCGAACGGGUGAGUAACGCGUAGGUAACCUGCCUGGUAGCGGGGGAUAACUAUUGGAAACGAUAGCUAAUACCGCAUAAUACUAGUUAUUGCAUGAUAAUUGAUUGAAAGGUGCAAAUGCAUCACUACCAGAUGGACCUGCGUUGUAUUAGCUAGUAGGUGAGGUAACGGCUCACCUAGGCGACGAUACAUAGCCGACCUGAGAGGGUGAUCGGCCACACUGGGACUGAGACACGGCCCAGACUCCUACGG
rnacentral:rRNA from 1 species